ACACUCUGACACAUAUACACAGCAAGCAUGAAACCGUUGACAUGACAAUGUUUUCUAAAGUUAUUGUGAUCAUCAUCUCUCUCUCUCCCUCUCCCUCUCACACACAUGGAGAGAGAGAACACACACAUACACAUGUACUGUCAAUAACUAAACAGAUAUACAAAUGCCAAAACGUUAGCUACAACAGGUACAAAGUUACCAGGUCCAUGGAUGAUUAACGUUAGCUAGCUAGCUAGCUACAACAGGUACAAAGCCAAAGUUACCAGGUCCAUGGAUGAUUAACGUUAGCUAGCUAGCUACAACAGGUACAAAGUUACCAGGUCCAUGGAUGAUUAAUGUUAGCUAGCUAGCUACAACAGGUACAAAGUCUAACUUACCAGGUCCAUGGAUUAUUAACGUUAGCUAGCUAGCUACAACAGGUACAAAGUUACCAGGUCCAUGGAUGAUUAAUGUUAGCUAGCUAGCUACAACAGGUACAAAGUCUAACUUACCAGGUCCAUGGAUUAUUAACGUUAGCUAGCUAGCUACAACAGGUACAAAGUUACCAGGUCCAUGGAUGAUUAAUGUUAGCUAGCUAGCUACAACAGGUACAAAGUCAAACUUACCAGGUCCAUGGAUUAUUAACGUUAGCUAGCUAGCAAAACUUUCCUUGACAUUCUUCUCCCCAACAAACCGCCGCUUUACUUCGGAAAUACUGAACACAUUUACGUUAAUUACUUAAAAGCUUUAAGGGGAAAUAUAAAGUGUCACAUUCUCAGGGUUAAAUUCAGGUGCAAUAAUUUCUUACUCGUUAUUGAUGUAAAUAAAUGGAAUAAAAGAAGGGUUUUGUAAACCCUGGUGGAUUGUAGUAGGAUAUUGAAAUAAAAGACAGGCCUACGUGUGAUUUGUUAAAUUCUGUAAACAAAUGUAAUUAGUCAUAACAGAACAUCAAAAUUGCAUUCCGCGGAACAAAAGAAAAUGUGUAACACAAACAGUGCAGUUGACAUCAACAAAAUAUUAUCAUUAGACGCCAAUACACACAGCAAGCUACCAGAUAUCACAUGACUGUAAGUCGCUUUGGAUAAAAGCGUCUGCUAAAUGGCAUAUAUUAUAUUAUUAUUAUAUCAUUAAUUUAAAAAAAACAUUAUUUCAUUGUACUGCAGUUUUAUUGCAUUUUAACGGCAGUGCAUUCUUGUAAGGGUAUCCUGUAAUAUUGUGCAUGUUCAUGCAUGUUCAUCUUACAUGCUGGUAGCCUAUAAUAAAUGUUAUGGAAGUGACUGUGCACUUUUCAAUUGGGUGGACUGCAAGUACAAAAAAACACUCCCAUAGCCUGUAGUAAAAACAAACGCAUUUAUAGCAUUGGAGAUUCUCUAAAUUAGGGACCAUCUCUCAUAGCUACAGUACAUGACCCCAGAUAGUGUCACAAAUAUGACAUUUUAAUGACCUAGCAAAUUCGAUGACUUGGAGGUGAAAUAUCACAACACUUUGUAUAUUAAAUUGGUAUUUCAUCACCUGCCAAAUAAAAUUCCUCAAAUGGCCCUACUCCUGAAAAAGUUAAUCGGGCUGGAUAAGCUGAAGUGGAAUCGGCCCAAGUACCAUUAGCCGGAGCCCAGAGUAAUAUGAUUCAUCUCAAACGGAAUAGGCCCGAGCCCAGCGUGUUGACUGGGUACAGUAUGGCCCAAGACUCUAACCGGCUUUGGUGUGCUCUGCCAGCUGUUGUAUGCCAAGUGUGCUAAGCUGAAUCAUGCAAACCCUGCUGAACAUUACUCAAAUUUUAAUAACUGUAAUUGUUCUAGUGUCUUAUACAGUGCAUUCAGAAAGUAUUCAGACUCCUUGACUUUCUCCACAUUUGUUUUUUUCUUCAUCAAUCUACACACAAUACCCCAUAAAACUUUUUUUUUUUUUAUAAAAAAUGUAAAACAGAAAUAUCACAUUUACAUAAGUAUUCAGACAAUUGACUCAGUACCUUGUUGAAGCACCUUUGGCAGCGAUUACAGCCUCGAGUCUUCUUGUGUAUGAAGCUACAAGCUUGGCACACCUGUAUUUGGGGAGUUUCUCCCAUUCUUCCCUGCAGAUCCUCUCAAGCUGUGUCGGGUUGGAUGGGGAGCGUCACUGCACAGCUAUUGUCAGGUCUCUCCAGAAAUGUUAGAUAGGGUUCAAGUCUGGGUUCUGGCUGGGCCACUCAAGGACACGCCGUGGAGCAGGUUUUCAUCAAGGAUCUCUGUACUUUGCUCUGUUCAUCUUUCCCUCGAUCCUGAGUAGUCCCACAGUCCCUGCCCAUGAAAAAUAUCUCCACAGCAUGAUGCUGCCACCACCAUGCUUCACAGUAGUGAUGGUGCCAGGUUUCCUCCAGACGUGACGCUUGGCAUUCAGGCCAAAGAGUUUAAUCUUAGUUUCAUCAGACCACAGAAUUUUGUUUUGGCAUACUCCCAGCAGGCUGUCAUGUGCUUUUUUGCUUCCUUCUGGCCACUCUAACAUAAAGGCCUGAUUGGUGGAGAGCUGCAGAGAUGGUUGACCUUCUGGAAGGUUCUCCCAUCUCCCCAAAGGAACUCUGGAGCUCUGUCAGAGUGACCAUCGGGUUCUUGGUCAUCUCCCUGACCAAGGCACUUCUCCCCCGAUUGCUCAGUUUGGCCUGGCGGCCAGCUCUAGGAAAAGUCUUGGUGGUUCCAAACUUUUUCCAUUUAAUAAUAAUGGAGUCCACUGUGGUCUUGGAGACCUUCAAAGUUGCAGAAAUGUUUUUGUACCCUUCCCCAGAUCUGUGCCUUGACACAAUCCUGUCUUGGAAUUCUACGUACAAUUACUUCGACCUCAUGGCUUGGUUUUUGCUAUGACAUGUCAACUGUGGGACCUUAUAUAUACAGGUGUGUACCUUUCCAAAUCCUUUCCAACCAAUUGAAUUUAACACAGAUGGAUUCCAAUCAAGAUCUCAAGGAUGAUCAAUGGAAACAGAAUGCACCCAAGCUCAAUUUCGAGUCUCAUAGCAAAGGGUACAUUUGCCCCAAAAAAUAAAAACCGGUUUUUGCUUUGUCAUUAUGGGGUAUUGUGUGUAGAUUGAUGAGGCAAAACAUGUAUUUAAUCCAUUUUAGAAUAAGGCUGUAACGUAAUAAAAUGUAGAAAAGGUCAAGCGGUCUGAAUACUUUCCGAAUGCACUGUAUGCAAUGGGUGCAUGGAUCACAAACACAAUAAGACUGGUGUCUUAUUAAUUGAGUAGCAUUUAGAUAACUGGUCAGAAGCCUCGAAGAGGCUUCUAAACAGCUUCUACCCCCAAGCCAUAAGGCUCCUGAAC